GCCAUAUUCGGUUUCGCCGAGAAUCGUGAACACGUACGCCGGAAGCAAUGCGGGGUAAUUAUUUGAUUUAUUUCAUAAUAUUAUUUAACAUAUAUCGUGAAAAGUUCUGAAUAUUCGGAUUCUUCUGUUAUCGUUUCAUCGUGUGUUAGCAUUAUCAGCUCUCGGUAUCGAAUUGACAAACAGAAUUUUUCUCAUAGAAAUUCGAUAGUUUACAUUUCACGGGCCCCGUGUUGCACCCGCAUUGCUUUCGUUCCUGUUUCCAACGUAUAAGUGUAGCGUCAGUGAUUCGCGUGACGCGACGUAACCUUCAACGUUUGUUUUUCUCGGUUUAUGCGUUGUGUGUUCGUUUGAAUGAAAAUGUCGCGAGUGUUGUAACAAAAACCACGGAAAACAGAAGAAGAAUACGGGAGCAAAAGGAAUUCCAGGCUACAGCAGAAUGCCCAUUACCCAACAGGGUUUCGUUCCAUGGUAUUUCAACGAGGCGUCGCUGUCGUUGCUGUUGUCACAUACGAGACACAACAAAUCACGAAAUUGACAAAUCACCGGUGAUCUCCUCGAGUCGCAGUUCGAACGUUUCACAAAUAAGUUAAAGUAUUGAACUUUAGAUAUAGUGGUAAAAUUUAUUGCAUGAAUCCAACAGAGUGACGGUUCAGAGUGUCAUAACAAAGAGGCCACUGCAAUGAGAAAGGAAUUCCUGAAGCCAAAAAAAAUGAUACAUCCAAAUAGCAGAAAGUCUAUCGCUAUUACGAAAAAAGCCAAAAAAAUAUCAAAUAGACAGAAGGCAGAAAUGUCCCGCUUGAUAAAACAGAAUUCAAUAGGAGAGAAAAUAUCAUGGAUCAGAAACAAUAUGAUUCCAGGCGUGUGUCCCUAUACUCCAGAGUUAACUGCAAGUUUGUUAGAAACGGAGGUAUGUAGCAAGAAAUGAUGAAGCAAUGGAAGAAAUUACUAUUAAAAGAUCUAUAGGUAGCAACAGGAGUAGACAGCAUGCUAGGAGGGAACAUAUAAUUAGAGUAGAAAGAACUAGGAGAAUAUCAUACACGUGGAAUAGAAAUUUCUGAUAUUUUAAAUGCAACUCAGUGUGAAAUGUUAUUGAAUUGGAAUAAUGAAUUACAGUGUGUGAAUAAUUCUAAAUUUAUAAGGUUUGGCGAGAAAGAUUUAAAGAAAGUAUUAGAGCUAAGACAAAGAAUGAAAAUAAGCCAUAUUAGACUAUUCAAAUCUCUGUUAGCUAUGCCUGUAAACAAGAAGAAUUUAUUAAAUUACUAUUAUAUGAUACCGAGGGGAACUUUGAUGUAUUAGAAGGAUGCUGUGAAAUUCGAAAGGACGGGAUGAAAGUCAAGAGGACACCAUGGUGAUUAACGAUAAAUUUGAUAACUUUUCGUCGAAAUGUGAUAAUAUUUGUUCACUUUUAGAUUAACUCCAUUUCUUAUAAAUAUUUCGUGAUAUUAUCGUAAUUAAUAUCUAAUAUAACAAAUUCUAAAUUCACGGUUUAUUAGAACACCAAGAUGAAAAAUGCAAGAUUAAAGAAAUUAUUUUUUUCUUUCGAAUAUAUUAAAUUAUAUUUCCGAAGAAAUUGAAUAGAUUGUUUAACAUAAAUUUAACAUAGAUUCUCUCGAUUCUGUUUCAUUUGAGUAAGAAAUUCAAAUAACUUUCUCAUUUUGCUUCAUUAUUCGUAAAUUGUCUGUAAUAUAAUAUGGACUAUUAAUUUCGUUUUUCUCAAUAACUUUUAUUACAUUUGAGAAAUUACGUUAUCACAGACUAGUUAAAACAGUUUCUGCAUAUCGCGUUAUUUUCGUAUUGCGCAGCUUUGUUUAACGGGCAGAAAAAGUGCGCCAUGUUGCAUUAGAACGAAGUCAAGUAAUGCAUAAAAUAUUUGAAAUUAUAAUGGCGGACAUUCUAUUUGGCGGAUAACUUUUACAAAUCAAUCGUAUUAUGCAAUAUUCAUACAUAUAUUUGACAAUAAUAAAAAAUACUUUGAAAAUAUUUUAAAUAUACUAACGAUAUAUUUUCUUUCGCAUUUUUGGUAUAAUAUUUAUGUGUAUAUUUUCGUGCUCUUGAUAUGAUAUAUGAUUCUACCUAUGGUAAAUAAAUAAUAAUUAAUUCGUAGUUCUAAGAAA